UGGUUCGCCACCGCGGCUUCUCGAAGCCUUCGUUCCACCACGACUAACGGUCACUCAGAAUUCAGAACCUUCGCCUUAGGGCAGAUGAAACUUCUAUCAGAUUGCCAUAGACUGUAUCUGCUUAGAAGCUCUCAAUAAGUAGAUUGGUUUGUAUAUCAGCUCUUCCAGCAUCAGCAACUAUUAUUUGUCUUUUCCUGAAGUACUUUGAUUUUGGGACUAUGACAAGGACAGAGACAAAUUGAGAGGGGUGGAAGAUAGAGGGAGAAGAGAGAUACCUGCAGAUCUGCUUCACUACUUAUGAAGUGCUCCCCCUGCUGGUGGGUAACAGGGGCUUGAACUGGGUUCCUUGCCCUUCUCCCAUGAACAUUUUUUAACUGAAGUAAAGUUAUAGAGAGUAUAGUUUACUUGCCUAUAAGUCAACAAAAACAAGUAAUUUAUUUUUCUAUGUUGAAUUAGAUACUUUGAUAUGUGAUAAUAUCAUUAAGGUAAAACAGUUUUAUUGCCUAGAAGAUCAUAAGAUAUACCCAUAGCAAGAAGCAAGACCAUAUAGUUUAAUAGCUCACUGUGUGUGUGUGUAACACAACUUCCUUAUUCAGUCACCUGUCACUUGAAUUGUUUCCAAGUGUUGG